rnacentral:lncRNA from 1 species
GAUCAAAACUGAAUAUAAACGAAUUUUUGAUUUGGAGUUUGGGGGGGCACGUGCCCCCCCGUGCCCCCCUUUAUCUACGCCAAUGCCUCUAAUUGUGGAAUAACAAACAGAACUCUCUCCGGAUCUUUCCUACUCCAUUUUAAUAAUUGUCAUGUGAACAUAAACAAUGUUCUGUAUGACAAAAGAACCCAGACACUUCCAGGAAAACCGAUUCAAUUACCAUUGAAUGGAAUAGAGAUUAAGAAGCACCAAGAAAUUCUCAAUAUUAGUUUGUAACAUCUCCAUAAACUACAACAACAGACCAGGAAAGAAUUGGGUAAAAUUCGUUUAUCAUCCAUAAGUCUGCAUUGGCCUCAUUGAAAGAGAACCAUCAUUAACAACCUUCCUCAAAUUUCAAAAGGAAUUACAUCAAGAACAAUCACCAACAACUUUCCACAGAUUUCAAAAGAAAUUAAAUCAGGACAUCAACAAACUAUUUUUCGAAACCUGUCACCAGCAGAAUUGAUUCAGAUGGAACCUCAUCACUAAGGCGGGAGGAGUUAACUAUUGAACCAGGCUGAAGCCGUAAUGAAUAACAACAGACGCCGGUUACAACGAAAAUAAACAACGAGUUGGAUAGCUGAAUAGACUCAACAACAAGUGGCAAAGCAGUAGAUCAGAGCUGUAAUAUAUUGAUUGGAAUAAAAUUAAAACCAGUGGGAGUUAGGUCGUCGAUCGAACUAGUUGUAUUACUUUUUUAGAAAGAAAACCCGAAGCGAAAGCGUUUAACUCGCGAGAAUGCGAACUGGCGCCCGAAGUAGAACAGGAAUCUCGUAUCACGUUGAUUACAAAUCUUGAGUUUGUCUUUCAGUUGUCACCGUUUAUCCGCACGAAUUCGAAAAUGUCGCAACUUACUGCCGAAGAACAGCAGAGAGUCAACCCGAAGUUGCUCCUAGUUCGAUCGUUCGUUGGUCCAAUGCAUCAGCAAAUGAAGAACUUAGUCACAGGAGGGUUAACAGAAGCGCAACCCAUCGAGGCGGAGUAUGAGAACACCGAGGACAUUGUUGUCCGCGGGAUUGGCUCAAACCCAAUCUAAGAGAUGCGUAUCGACAAGGGAAUCCCGCCAACAUAUCCCCUGCAAUGGUUUGAGAACAGUAACUGGGGAAAGCCACCAAUAACUCUGCCAGGACCCCGGGAGGGUGCCGGAAUUGGUGAUUACUUUCAUGUCCUUGCUGCCUUACUUGCAUGUCCAAGCAGCCUAUAUCUUCCUAAAUUUACUUUGCCAGCAAACAAAAGGCAUACUCAGAUUUGACUGGGUCUCCCUGGGCGUGCUUAUCGGGCGUGAGGGGCGCACGGUGAUCCCUCUGAGCAUGUUUAAUUUGAAGAUUACCAAAAUGAGCACUAACAUCGGGACAAGUCAGGCGGCAGUAUCCGACGAUUCUCUAUACGAUUUGGCACUUCUGAUCUUGGGCGGCUUCCGAAUCCACCUGGCCACAAAAAAGCGUACAUUGAUCGCUUGCAAACUGCUUUGAUCACCCCAGAUUUCGUGGAGUGGAAGUGGCCAUCACAAAUUUCGCCCAACUUUAUGUGGAUCCCGAGUUUAUAAAAUUAGCUUGCGGGAUUGACAUGUUUUUCGCAGUAUUCCCCCAUCACCCUAGAGCGAAACUUCGAUUCGGGACCCUAAUAAUGUCCCACAAGGAUUGCACAGGGCUAUCCGCCAUAACAUCUGGAUGCGAGCUCAUGAACCACACGACAAAAGUGUUCUCACGCUGGCUGAUGACCCCAGUCCUACGAGCUGAUCUCAACCGCAUGACAGUCCCGGGCCAGGAGAUUUGUGUGCCCUAUUCGUACAGCCCCUAUCUCUCUGGGUUGGGAAUCGUGGAUAAGAGUCCAUACUCAGCCUCCUUGAACUGUGACCUCCAUAUGUUCACUCAUAUGGUUGGAUGUGCGAUCCCCAUGGCGAGAUCUGUCAACGCCAUCUAUUUUCAGCCAUCCGGGCUACAGUCAAUCAUUGAUAACGCUAUUCUAUUCAUAUACGCCCAUUCUUGUACGAGCUCGCUACAAAUGCAGUUCUUCCGAGCGUCGGAAGUAGAAACAGUAAAGAAAGUGAAGGAGGAAGCUCGUCAGGUAGUUGAGGAGAUGAGGCAAAAACUACUAGGGGUCAGAGGACGAUGAUGAAUCGAGGGAUGGACGGAGCUCACCAGCGAGCGUAGAAGGAGGUGGAGAUAUCGAAGAUCUGGCCGAAGUACAAGAGGUCGGAGGAGUCGAUUAUGAUGAGCCAACCAGCCGUGAUGCGCUGGACUGGUACAUUUAUCUCAUGAAGACGUGCCAUGGGACGAUACCGCCCCGGAUGAGAGCUGUUGCUUACGAACGUUGGUGUGGCGAGCCGCAUUAUUUUCUCACGCAUUUCGAACGGUUUUGAGGUGUCGUUAUCUUUGCCUUUGACUUUCGUUAUCUUUACGAUACCAUAAAUAAGCCAGAUGCAACCGUAGAUGCAUAUACGGUUAUGCGUUAGAUGUUUAUUCUCUUUUCUUAGAAGGACGAGAGGAUAAACAUGAUGAUGAAAACGAAGCAUGAGAAAAUAAACAGCGGGCAAGCCAAACUCAAAAGGGACGCUCAAAUAUGUGCUCCAAAUAGUCAUAAGAAGUUAUAAAUAAGAGUAAUGUAAUAAAAAAUGUCCAGUCUGAAGUUAACAACCAACGCAUUUGGUCUAAGAAAGAAAGCCAAAUUAUCACAUUUGGUGGCAGCGAGUUAACGAAUCGAGAAAAUCAGUGUCUCGUAGAAAAGCCGUGUUUGGCCAUUGCGGAUAGCAAGAAAAAAAAAAGUGCAACCAUUUUUCACCAUCGCCUAUUGAAAACGAGAUUGUGCAGAUUUUUCCAUCGUUUUUAAGUUAUCGUUUUACGGCUCUUGGCGAGUCCCGGAAACAGAGUUCCAGUACACUGAGAAUACGGUUCCGCCGUGGAAUGUCCAGAAACUAGUGCAAGAAAGGCGCGAUUUUGGCAGUAAAGGAUCAAAAGAAAUUAUCUCGAGUUGGCUGGACGCAAAGGAAGAAGCAAAACGCGUUCCAUUGGUUGAUCAUUGAGAGGACCACCAAAAAGGCUGGGAAUACACUUUCUACCGCCAGAGUGGAUUAGUUCGUGAAGGAAUCCAGAUUUGAAUCGGAAGAAGCAGUUGUAGCUGUAGCAGCAGAGGCAGCUGUUAAUUAGCAGAGGUUUCAUCACCGAGGUCAACGAAGAUCAGCGAAGCCACCCCGGAGAUCCUAGCGAGGCGACGACGGAAGAAAAAGCAGAAGCAGUGUUUUACACCAAGAUCUAUGCGGCAAUUAACAGGUUAGCACAGUGUUUUUUUUGUGUAGUGUGUAAGAUUAUUCACUCUUCAAGUGAUUUUAUUUGUUUAACAUAGCGAAUAUAUUUUUUUUUUGCCUAUGUCUAAUAAUUUGUCUUUGAGAUCCAGAGACAUUCCAAGACAAGCUUUUGAACAAGAAUUGCUAUUGCAAGAAAGUGAUUCGAAUUCUUCUUUAAACGCAUCACAAUUUAAAAGUUUUGCAAUGGCAUUUGAUCGCAAUUUUGCUUUCAAUGUUAUCCCCGAAUUGAAGGGAAAAAGUAACGUUGAAAUUUUCAUAAACCAAUGCGAUGCAAUUUAUGAUGAAUUUGGCGAGGAGGAUUGCGAAGUCAGCCUAAUGGCUAUAAUUCGUAGUAAAAUUUCAGCUAAUGUGUGAUUAGCUUCUAAAGACUGCACAAAAUACACGGAGCUGAAAGAAUUUUUGUUGAAUAAAUUUUGCGAUGAUACGCCAUUAAGUGCGAUGAUGAACAGGCUCAAUACCAGUCUGAG